rnacentral:rRNA from 1 species
UACGGGGGGAGCAAGCGUUGUUCGGAAUUAUUGGGCGUAAAGAGCUCGUAGGCGGUCUGUCGCGUCCGUUGUGAAAACUCGAGGCUCAACCUCGGGCUUGCAGUGGAUACGGGCAGACUAGAGUGCGGUAGGGGAGACUGGAAUUCCUGGUGUAGCGGUGGAAUGCGCAGAUAUCAGGAGGAACACCGAUGGCGAAGGCAGGUCUCUGGGCCGCAACUGACGCUGAGGAGCGAAAGCAUGGGGAGCGAACAGG